GAUGAACGCUGGCGGCGUGCCUAAUACAUGCAAGUCGAGCGAACAGAUAAGGAGCUUGCUCCUUUGACGUUAGCGGCGGACGGGUGAGUAACACGUGGUUAACCUACCUAUAAGACUGGGAUAACUUCGUGAAACCGGAGCUAAUACCGGAUAACAUUUGGAACCUCAUGGUUCUAAAGUGAAAGAUGGUUUUGCUAUCACUUAUAGAUGUCCCCGCGCCGUAUUAGCUAGUUGGUAAGGUAACGGCUUACCAAGGCGACGAUACGUAGCCGACCUGAGAGGGUGAUCGGCCACACUGGAACUGAGACACGGUCCAGACUCCUACGGGAGGCAGCAGUAGGGAAUCUUCCGCAAUGGGCGAAAGCCUGACGGAGCAACGCCGCGUGAGUGAUGAAGGGGUUCGGCUCGUAAAACUCUGUUAUUAGGGAAGAACAAAUGUGUAAGUAACUGUGCACGUCUUGACGGUACCUAAUCAGAAAGCCACGGCUAACUACGUG
rnacentral:rRNA from 1 species